CAUGGUCAGCUGAUCCUCCAGUGAACUGAGAAGGUUUAUAGUCCUGUGAGUUCAACACUGCAGGACUCAGAUCUGUCAGUCAACACAGCAGAAACCACAAGCAGCAUGACUCUCAUCACCAUCCUCAUCUGGACGCUGGCCUGCUGCUGUUUUACAGGAUGCAGCGGUCAGGUGACUGUGACUCAGCCUCCAGUACUCACAUCUACUCCAGGAUCCACUGUCACUCUGACCUGUAAAACCAACCCUGCUGCUGCGUGUAGUCCUCCUUGCUUGUCCUGGUAUCAACAGAAAUCUGGACAGACUCCAAAGCUUCUAAUUAGACGUGUGAGCACACGUGUAUCAGGAACACCAGCUCGGUUUAGUGGCAGUGGAAGCGGCUCUGACUUCUCUUUGACCAUCAGUGGAGUUCAGACUGAAGAUGCAGCAGUUUACUACUGUCAGAGAGCACAUGAAAUAAACAGUGCAUGGGUGUUCACACAGUUAUUUGUCGUCGUACAAAAACCUCCCUCAGUCAGACUGCAGAGACUCUGA